rfam:Felis catus isolate Cinnamon breed Abyssinian chromosome B1, whole genome shotgun sequence.
GCCUGGGUGGCUCAGUCGGUUGAGCGUCCGACUUCAGCUCAGGUCACUAUCUCGCGGUCCGUGAGUUCGAGCCCCACGUCGGGCU